AGAAACUGCCUUUCAGGCAUCCUCUCCUAAUACUUUCAGGCCGGCGCCGCGCCGGCCUUUCUUUUUGGGCGCG
rnacentral:sRNA from 1 species